UUCCUUGGAAAAGGACAGCUGANAGGGUGAAACUCCCGUCCGCCUGGUAGAAUGAGUCUUUGUCAACGAGUCGAGUUGUUUGGGAUUGCAGCUCUAAUUUGGUGGUAAAUUCCAUCUAAAGCUAAAUAUUGGUGGGAGACCGAUAGCGUACAAGUACCGUGAGGGAAAGAUGCAAAGAACUUUGAAAAGAGAGUUAAAGAGUACCUGAAAUUGCUGAAACGGAAGCGAAGGAAACCAGUGUUUGUUGGUUCAUAUUUCCCUGGCCACUUGUGGUUUGGGCG
rnacentral:rRNA from 1 species